CCCUUAGAUGUCCUGGGCUGCACGCGCGCUACACUGAUGUGUCCAGUAAGCACCUAACCUCUUCCGAAAGGAACGGGUAACCUUUGCAAAGCACAUCGUGAUGGGGAUAGAUUAUUGCAAUUAUUAGUCUUGAACGAGGAAUUCCUAGUAAACGCAGAUCAUCAAUCUGCAUUGAUUACGUCCCUGCCCUUUGUACACACCGCCCGUCGCACCUACCGAUUGGAUGGUCCGGUGAAGCCUCGGGAUUGUGGUUCUUGCCGCUUUAUUGUGGCGUGACCGCGAGAACUUGUCUAAACCUUAUCAUCUAGAGGAAGGUGAAGUCGUAACA
rnacentral:rRNA from 1 species